rnacentral:rRNA from 1 species
GGUUAAGCGACUAAGCGUACACGGUGGAUGCCCUGGCAGUCAGAGGCGAUGAAGGACGUGCUAAUCUGCGAUAAGCGUCGGUGAGGUGAUAUGAACCGUUAUAACCGGCGAUUUCCGAAUGGGGAAACCCAGUGUGUUUCGACACACUAUCAUUAACUGAAUCCAUAGGUUAAUGAGGCGAACCGGGGGAACUGAAACAUCUAAGUACCCCGAGGAAAAGAAAUCAACCGAGAUUCCCCCAGUAGCGGCGAGCGAACGGGGAGGAGCCCAGAGCCUGAAUCAGUGUGUGUGUUAGUGGAAGCGUCUGGAAAGGCGCGCGAUACAGGGUGACAGCCCCGUACACAAAAAUGCACAUAUUGUGAGCUCGAUGAGUAGGGCGGGACACGUGGUAUCCUGUCUGAAUAUGGGGGGACCAUCCUCCAAGGCUAAAUACUCCUGACUGACCGAUAGUGAACCAGUACCGUGAGGGAAAGGCGAAAAGAACC